rnacentral:tRNA from 1 species
GGUUGUGGCUCAGCGGUAGAACACUUGCCUAGCAUGUACAAGACGCUGGGUUCAAUCCUCAGCACCA